rnacentral:rRNA from 1 species
CAGCAGCCGCGGGAAUACAGAGGGUGCGAGCGUUAAUCGGAUUUACUGGGCGUAAAGCGUGCGUAGGCGGCUAAUUGAGUCGGAUGUGAAAUCCCCGAGCUUAACUUGGGAAUUGCAUUCGAUACUGGUAAGCUAGAGUGUGGGAGAGGAUGGUAGAAUUCCAGGUGUAGCGGUGAAAUGCGUAGAGAUCUGGAGGAAUACCGAUGGCGAAGGCAGCCAUCUGGCCUAACACUGACGCUGAGGUACGAAAGCAUGGGGAGCAAACAGGAUUAGAUACCCGCGUAGUCCCUGUCUCUUAUAC